rnacentral:rRNA from 1 species
GACGAACCGAGCGAACGUUGUUCGGAAUCACUGGGCUUAAAGGGCGCGUAGGCGGGUGCUCAAGUCUGUGGUGAAAUCCUCCGGCUUAACCGGAGAACGGCCAUGGAUACUGGGUGCCUCGAGGGUGGUAGGGGUAUGCGGAACUAUCGGUGGAGCGGUGAAAUGCGUUGAUAUCGAUAGGAACUCCGGUGGCGAAGGCGGCAUACUGGACCACUUCUGACGCUGAGGCGCGAAAGCCAGGGGAGCGAACGGG